rnacentral:rRNA from 1 species
UACGUAGGGUGCGAGCGUUUGUCCGGAUUUACUGGGCGUAAAGGGCGCGUAGGCGGCCACCGCAAGUCGGUUGUGAAAUCUCCGGGCUUAACCCGGAAAGGUCAAUCGAUACUGCGGGGCUAGAGUGCAGAAGGGGCAACUGGAAUUCUCGGUGUAGCGGUGAAAUGCGUAGAUAUCGAGAGGAACACCUGCGGCGAAGGCGGGUUGCUGGGCUGACACUGACGCUGAAGCGCGAAAGCUAGGGGAGCGAACGGG